GAAGGUGUGCUGUGGUUUCUGGCACCAAGACCAUAGUUCCUUUAAGUCCUGUAAGAUGCAAGGUGGGCCUCCAUGGAUCAGACUUGUUUGUCCAGAACAUCCCACAGAUGCUCAGUUGUAUUGAGAUCUGGGGAAUUUGGUGGCAGUCAACUCCUUGAACUCUGUCAUGUUCCUCAAACCAUUCCUGAACCAUUUUUUGUAGUGUGUCAGGGAACAUUAUUCCGCUGAAGGAGACCACUGCCAUUAGGGAAUUUUGUUGCCAUGAAGAGGUGUACGUGGUCUGCAACAGUGUUUGGUAAGUGGUACUUGUAAAAGUAUAUUAACAUCCACACAAAAGCCAGGACCCAAAGUUUUCCAGCAGAACAUUGCCCAGAACAUCACAUUGCUUCUGCCAGCUUUUGCUCCCCACUUGCAUCAGUGAGCCUUGGGUGCCCUUGACCCUGUCACCAGUUCACCAGUUGUCCUUCCACGGGCCACUUUUGGUAGGUACAAGACCUGCCGUUUUGGCAAUGCUCAGACCCAGUUAUCUAGACGUCAUAGUUUGUCCCUUAUCGAAGUUGCUUAGAUCCUUACACUUGCCCAUUUUUCCCCAACCGUUCGCUUGGUGCCUGAUAUACCCCACCCCUUCACUGGUGCUGUUGUAAUGAGAUAAUCAAAGUUCUUCACUUCACCUGUCAGUGGUUUUACUGUUGUAGCUGAUCGGUGAAUAGUUGCAUUUAAUGUUGUAGAAUGAAAACACAUUCCUGUUCUCACUUGUGUUAGCAUGUUGUAACAGCUGUUCUUCCCUCACCUAUUUUGUGGUGUGUUUAUUUAUUUAUUUUUAUUUAUUUAUUUUAUUUAAAAAAAACAAAACUUUUUUUUUUAUAUAUAAAACAAAGGAAAAAAUGCUGCUUGUCAUGUUACCGAUAGGGCCACAAAAAUGUCCUCUGUGCUGAUGUCUUGGCUGUAUCUGAAAACUUGUAGCUUUACCCCUGACUUUUACUGUGUUGACACUGGAGAUUCCUUUCAGAAAUGCUCCAUUAAUGUCUCCUAACAUAAACCCACUAGGACUAAGAUGAUUUAUGCAUUGUAGCACCAAACAAAGAUUUCAGUCACUUUUCUGUCUGUAAAUUGUCCAUCACUGUGUAUGGGGCCAUAGUCUUGUGUCCUUUAUUCAUCUCCGUAAAUAGUCAUCAUAUUAACCUGUUGACUGGUGUUUAUCAGACAGGAGCCUGUGGUUUCCCACUCUGAACGCUGUUCGAGACAUGUCGACUUCAGGAGGCCCCACUCCACCCUUCACCACCCUGUCAGUCACCCAACCAGCCAAUCACAUCACUCCUGUAGAGCUGCACCGACCAGAGAAACGCAACGCCAUGAACUAGGCCUACUGGAGUGAAAUGAUCGAAUGCUUUAAUCAGAUUGCUGAAGACUCAGAGUGCCGUGUGGUGGUGGUCUCGGGUGCAGGGAAAAUCUUCACUGCAGGCACGGAUGCUGAUCACAGAGGAGAGCCUGAUGACCACGAUCGUCCGCACACUCGAUGAUCACCUGAGACAUCCAGACCAGCAGGGACGAUUUCAGUUUGAACUCUACAGUGCACAAAAGGUCUUUAAAUUCCGCAGGGUCCAGAGUCUUAUAGAAGACCUCAAGUACGGCUGGAAAAAAGCAGAAUGUGUUACACUGUCUGUCAGAGAAUAUCAUUAUUAAUGAUAAUUAAUAGCUAAUCAUUCUCAUUAAACUUUUUUUUUUUUUAAACUCAGAUAUGUCCUGAUUAGCCGUCCAACAGAGUGGACCGACAAGCUCAGGGAGAAGUUUCUGGAAGGACUUGAUGCUUUCUUGGAGCUGCUCAAGUGCAUGCAGUGUGUUUACGUGUGUUUGUAUAAGCCAUGUUAACUUGCAGUUAUAGAUGUAAUAAUCAUGUAGGGGGGGAAAUAUAGCCAUGUUCUUUAAUAUCAGUAGUAUAAUGUGUGUUGGGGAUUUGUGAUUUCUGCAGGGUAUGGACCCAGUAGUACGCGACGUGGACCAAGACAUAGAGAUGGAACCAUUGUGGGUGACAGCCUUCACAUUGCAGAUGAAGCUCACACACAUUCUCAGUGAUGCAAGAGUGGUGUGCCAGUGAUGAGUGGGUGCUAAUUGAAGCCUGUAAGAAGUGCCUAACAGUUCUGACUCACUGCCACAGCGGUUUUACUGAUGGAGAACAACCCAUCACUCUUAGUAUGUGUGGACACUCAGUGGACACCAUCCGCUGCUGUGUCUCACAACAGAAAGUCAGCAUUCACCUACCGGUGUCUAGAUUGCCUGCAGGUAGGAGACCGAAUGUACCAAGUUUAUCAAAAGUGUGUACUUCAGUGUUUCUUGAAAUUGAGGAUUUUAAACUUAAUUUCUGCUUUUUAUUUAUUUACUUAUUUAUUUUAUUUUAUUUUAUUUUAUUAAGGACUUCAUGCUCUCCUUAGCAAGACAGAAGUGACUCGCAGUUUACAGGUAUGUAUGUUGGUGGUGGUUGGUGUGUGUGAGAAUAUUUGUACCAACAAAUGUGGUGUGUCCUUUUCCACAGUGUGUACUGAGCCCCCGAUGGUGAUUGAGACCCACUUCGCUGCCUGGUUCUCUGUGCACAGGUGCAUGCUGGGAUGUGGACGGUAAAUGACUACUCAUUAUCCAAUUAGGUAUGCUGUAAACAAAUGAAAUAUUUUUAAAUCUGUUUGUAUUGUUUAGCACCAUAAAAUGCUAACCUAUAAACAACCUCCCCCCCCCCCUUUUAAAUUAUAUAUAUAUAUAUUUUUGUUUGUUUGUUUGUUUGUUUUUUAACAGGUCAACAACCAAUACAAUGUGAAGUGAUUGAUGAUGCUCCAUGAGUGACCUCAUGAUGCUCCAGG